GUCUAAGGCGGUGGAGGUGUACCGUCUGAUCACUAGAAACUAUGAGAGGGAAAUGCUGGAUAAAGCUAGUCUGAAGCUCGGGCUGGACCGUGCCGUCCUGCAGAGCAUGAGUGGGAACAACAACGGGCCGGUCCAGCAGUUCUCCAAGAAGGAGAUCGAGGACCUGCUGAGGAAAGGAGCCUAUGGAUCAUCGAUGGACGAGAACGACGAAGGCAAUCGCUUCUGCUAGGAGGACAUCGAUCAGAUCCUGCAGCGAAGAGCCACCACCAUCACCAUCACCAGUUUGCUUCAAGCAGUGGCUGUACGAGAAAGACGUGGAGGACCAAGAAAUGCUGGCCAGAUUUGCAAAGACCGGAAGAUACAUAACAGAGAAGAUAAUGGAUAUUAAAAAGAAAAAUAAAUUUUUUUUUUAUAAUUUCUUUGUUGCUGUUUACAUUUUGAAUUAUAUUUGUUAUUUUUAAAUCAAAUGCAUCUAUUUUAGAUGAUAUAUUUAUUUAGAUGCAGGUUUUUUUUGUAAUAUUAUUGUAUUAAGUAUAAUUUAUUAAAUAAAAAUACUGUUAUGAACACUA